UACGUAGGGGGCAAGCGUUGUCCGGAAUCAUUGGGCGUAAAGAGCGCGUAGGCGGUCCGGUAAGUCCGCUGUGAAAGUCAAGGGCUCAACCCUUGGAUGCCGGCGGAUACUGUCGGGCUAGAGUCCGGAAGAGGCGAGUGGAAUUCCUGGUGUAGCGGUGAAAUGCGCAGAUAUCGGGAGGAACACCGGUGGCGAAGGCGGGUCUCUGGGCCGAUACUGACGCUGAGGAGCGAAAGCGUGGGGAGCGAACAGGAUUAGAUACCCCAGUAGU
rnacentral:rRNA from 1 species